GCGCAGGUGGCGGAAUUGGUAUACGCGCACGUUUGAGGGGCGUGUGGCUUUUGCCGUGCGGGUUCAAGUCCCGCCCUGCGCACCA
rnacentral:tRNA from 1 species